AGAGAGAGAGAGAGACAGACUGUGAGUGUGGAUUGCGGGUGAUAAAAUGGUCCAGAAAACACAUGCUGAAACAAGUAGACACUUUACACACACACACACACAGAUUCUUGCGCGGCUCAUGUUUUGUCAUGUUCCAGAAGACGACGCUCACCUCAAAAUAUUAUUCCAUCAUUCCAGAAGUUUCUUAGAUUGAAAGACCAGCACAAUCACCUUCACAUCAUCAUGCAUCAAUCAAUAUUUUACGUUCAAAUGUCCAUUAAAGUAUAAAGAAGUGUACAUAUUAGAGGCUGAACUGCUCACUGAGUUUCCAAUCAACUCAUUUUCAAUGGUUUGGUGGUUAUCUAAAAUAAAGUAGAUGAACCAGCAUGAACGCUGCAACAACCUAGAUACAGCUGCGGUUAUGAACUCAGUGUCCCUUAAAAGGGACUUUCACAGUAUGAGAUGUGAGAUAGAGAGAGACACACGGCAUCUCUAAAUUCUUUAAAAGUCUGAGCUGCAUGUUACGACAUGAAUGGGGAAACACAACUGUGCAACAACACACACACACACACACACACAUAUAUACAUAUAUAUAUACACACACACACACACACACACACAUAUAUAUAUAUAUAUAUAUAUACACGCACACACACACACACAUAUAUAUAUAUAUAUAUAUAUAUAGAGAGAGAGAGAGAGAGAGAGAGGCUAAAAAUUAUUAUAUAGAUGUAUUAUAUAUAGGCUAUACGAUUUUGAGAUCUCAUAUAUAUAUAUAUAUAUAUAUAUAUGUGUGUGUGUGUGUGUGUGUUAUAUAUAUAUAUAUAUAUAUAUAUAUACACACACACACAAACCUGGAUAAAGAGAGCUCAAAAUCGAGUCAAAAUGAAAGUUAGUGAGGGGAACCCAAGAAAGGAAGUGUUGAAAUAAUCAGCUAUUAAAAACUGAAUGUUGCUUUAGAUUAGACACGCAGAUGAUAGUUUCACUUAAAGGAUAAUGUCUCUCGCAUAAAUAUAGCUUAUUCUAAAUAUUUAUUAGCUAAUAUAUUAAAAUCAUCAGACAUUCUGAACGAGAGUGCGCGUGCCAUGGGCGUACAGGCGGAAGCAAGGCGCGCGCGCAAAGAGAGAGGUACCAGCUUCCGCCUUUCAGAACGCAUGACCAAAUAAGGAGCAGUUCACAGAACUCCGCGCGACCGCUGCUGUGAGGAAAUUCAGCGCGAAAGAAUAAACGGUCGAUUUGGAGGAGAGAUAUGUUCUUAUUAUCACGAAUUAAACUAAUGGAAACGACGGCAGUUUACUUUUAUAAAACUUAUCGCAAAGUUUGUGGCUUUACACACAACUAGAACUACCGUUAUCACCAGCGAGGCUGCGAGCGCAUCCUGAUUUGCAGCGACUUUUACAUGCGGAUGUCAGAACAUAAAAAUGGGAUUGAGAAAACAUGAAGAUAACAAACAUGAACUUGUGUGUUGAAGGUUCUCAGAUUGACAUGAUUUGAGUCAUAGAUAAAGUUAGGCCAGAGUUUGGCCUUUUGCAAAACGAGACAGAAAAAGGAGGCGGCAGAAUACAGCAGAGUGUGACCGCAACAUCCUGUUUGUGAAUCUGCAAGCUGCAUGAUAUGACAGGAAGAAUUACAGAGACAGCCAACGUGAAUGAGUUGAACUGAAUUUCAUUCUACUACUGUAUCUGACUGUGUGAAGAUGCUGUGGUGGAGUUCAUCUCUCUUUUUAAGUUGACCUGUCAGACCAAACGACACUGAGAAGUGACCGCUGGAGUAGCCAAUCAGAUUGUGCCAUGUGAGAGAACGAGGCGGGACCAGAACUGUAACAUUUCACCCAUUAACAGUGUGAGGGACUUGACCUGUCAAGAACAUGUCAAAUUUCACCUUGGAUUCAAAAUAGCAGUUAUACACUCUAAAAAAUGCUGGGUUAAAAACAACCCAAAAAUAUGUUGGAAAUUAACUUUUAUUAAUAUGCUUAAUAAAUGAACAUUUAUUAAUAAGUUCAAUGAAUAAUAAUUAAACAAUAAACAUUCAUUAAAUUGCUUGUUUAUAAAUGUUCACCUUUUGAUUGUUAUUGUUGCCUCUAGUAAUUAUGUGUCUGAUUUUAAAUUCCAAACAUACUUUGGGUUAAUUUUAAGCCAGACAUAUAGUCAUUUUUAAACAAUAGUUGAAUUAAAUAAAACUGCCCAGCACGCUGAGCAAACAUUUAACCCAACCGCUGGGUUAAAACAACCCAAUCGCUGGGUUUGUCCAUUUUCAGCCCAGCAUUUUUUAGAGUGUAUUUUGCAUUAAGAAAAUGAGGCACGUGACAUUUUAAUGAGAAAUGACAGCACAAUUGCUGUAUUGCAGUAAUGUUUUAAAAGUGUUUAAUUCAGGAAAAUCUAAUGUGAAUUAAAAAAUAAAAAGUGUCUCAAAAGUGAAAGGGUUGGAUGCAAAUAGUAAUAACAAAUAAAAUAGGUUUUCUUUAUGCAAAAUGUAAUUUCUAUUUUUAAUUUUCUUCUUUUUUGCUUUUAAGGGAGAAAAAUGAAGGAGGAGCAGAUUUGAGCAUUGCAAACUCUACAGGAGUCUAAUGAGCGCUGAAGAGUUUAAAAGUCAAAUCUACUGGAGCUGUGGAAUUCAUGCUCAUGUUCUCACUGGUUUGACCAGAGUGAGAGACGUUUCUAUCAUAACAUGCGAACACACGCUGACUAAUGUAGUGAAAAGAGAAUGUAUGCCUGCGAGGCAGGCAAAUACACACACACACACACACACACACAGACACAGAUUCUUUUUGCUGGCUGUGUAGAAUGUAUUUGAGGCCAGCAAAGACAGAGAAGAGACAUCCGUAUCUUUGAGUUUAUCAAGAUAAUUGAUCAGUGAGAGGCCUUUGUGAGCAAAGUAAGCGGAGAGAUUGCGCAAGCACAGAUCUUCAGUCAAUAAAAAGCUCAUUAAAUCACUAAACUAAUAGUACAACGUCCAGACCUCUAGAUAAACACUGAUGAACAGUUGAAUAAGGUUCUGUGCAUUAAGUUGCAUUAAGCACCUUAAGUUUUCUAAAGUGACGACUGUGAUUUCCCCUUACCUAUAAGGGAAUGAGGGCGUUGCUUAUAAUCCCUUAAACACUUUUCUUAGGUAAGGAAAGCUUAAGCAACUUGCCAGAACAAAAUUCUAUUGUUACCAUUGACAUGUUAUUUGUUAACAAAGAUAGUGGUAAGUUUUCAUAGAAAAUAAAAUAACAUGGAUAAGGACAACCCAAAGAAAACCAAAUGGACCAGACAACAGAAACUCAAAGAAACCAAAAAUGAAAAUUUAUUAAUUUACUCAUCCUCUGUCCAUUCACUGAAAGACAUAAAAGUAAUCCAUAAGAUUCAGGCUAAGCUCAAAAGUGCGUGUUUGACGUGACAUGUGCACGUUAACCAUAUUUGAUUUGUGCUAUGUAUAUGUAAUUUGAUCAAUGUUUAUACAUGAAUAAACGCCUAAGUUAAAAUCAGUUUAUCAUAUAAAGUGUCGUGUAUCGUUAGGGUCGGUUCACACAAAACGCGUUUUUUCAUUCCACCGCGCUACUUUUCCAUUGUUUUUCUAUGUAAAUGCGCACUAGAUGGACGUGUUUGACCGUUGCGCUUCAGUAUAGUGAUGGGAUGUUUGGAUCAUUUUACUGACUCGGAUCUUUGAAUCUCGUUCAGCAAAAUAAACUUUUUUCAAGUCAUUUUGUUCAUUUCAGCAGAAUAUAAUUUAAAUAUUACAUGUUAAUAGCUAAAUUCCUCUACUUAGGCAAAUGUUGAUCACAUAUCAAAUUAGAAAUCCCCAUAGGCUGAAGCUAUGCAGUCUGUACUGGUGUAGUGACAAAUCCCCCCUCCCCAAAAUCAGGUCUCAUUUUAAAUUAUAUUUUAUUUUAAAUUAAUAUAAUUUGUAUAUAUUUAGGAUAAUCAAUACCUGACAGUUUCGAGAGACCCGAUUUUGAGGGAGGACCCAAUUUGUCAUGACACCGGAAACCAAAAUGAUUAGUUCACCUCCCAGCCAACUCUUUAUUACAACGUUCAAUGUUCUGGAAAAGAACCAUCAUGAUAGAAAUUCACAAUGUUUUAAAUUGUAAAGAUUUUAAGACCAAAAAUGCAUCACGUAACUGUAAGAGUAAACUACACACUAGUUUGUAAGGAAGGUUGGGAAUUAUUAACUAAUUUCUGUAUCCAGUAUCGCCAUCACGCCAUGUGACAAAAGAACAAACGACUCAGACCCAAAGACUAGGAAGGUGAACUAAUUAUUUCUGUUUCCUGUACAGAAUCUAUAGGAUGUUGCUCAGUGAGAGAUGAGAGAUGAAACAAUGAGAGACAACUCAUUGUUUCCGAGUCAUACUAAAGAUUCGUUCAAAAUGACAUCCCUAGCCCAAAGCAAAAAGAAGACUUGGAUUAAAUUUGCUUGCUCUUUCCAAACCUUAUGUUAUACUUAGAAAAAUGACAGUUAAGAUGUAACACUUACCUUUUUGUAAGGGAUUAUUUAAGUGAAAAAUAGACACUUAAGGGAAAUUAUAAGGAUCUAUGACAUUUUCACCUAAAGAAACCCUUGAUUAGAUCCACAUAUAAACAACGUAUUUGACUUUUAUUGUAAAUUAUUGGUAAAUCCAUAUAUAUAAGUAGAUUUGAGAGUGCAUAGAAACUCUUUUGCAGUGGUUUGUGGAAGUGGCCGCUGGCUAAAGGUCUGUGAUUGAUGUUUCCAUUGUAACAAUGCCUUCUUUGACAGUGGGAUUAUGGGUAGUGUAGUCCUUCACCAAUUUUAAGCACUUUUUUUUAAACCUUGAAGUUGAAAUCACAUUGACUUAUGACUUGGCAUAUGAUGACACUUAAACUCGGUGAGUCUGUCCUAAAAGGUUUAUAUUUUAUAAAUCUUUUUUGUGUCUGAGGUACCUUCACAGCCAUGCUAAUUUCUGUUUUAUAGGUUGAGUGGAAGCUAAAGGGAAAUUCUACAGUCUGCUGUCAAUGUCAGCUUGUAAUUCUGGGUGGAGUUUGUGGUUGGCUAAGAAAAAGCCUUGUGUGUUAAGAGGAAACUCAUUUGCCAGUCAAACAUGAAAGAAAAUGUCCAUUCUGCAAAGAUUGUGAGCUUUGAGAGCAAUUGUGUGUUUUAAAAUAACAAAGCACCUGAAAUGCCACAACUUGCUGAUACGUAGGUAAAGUACACAUGAUUUUAAUAAUAAAUUGUAUUACUUAGUGUUAAGGGUUUAAUCA